GACCACCGGCCAUUCACAGCCCCCGAACUUUCACAUAUUUAAAUAUUACGCUACACCUGCUACUGUCCAUCACAGAGUGCGUAGAUAUGAGCAGCUCUUCCUACCAGGAGUCAAUCACCAGAGGAUGUGCGACGUGCAUGUUUCUAUAUGUGUUCAUGUGCAGGCCAUGGAUCAACAGACGCUGUUGGUAUGUGACGUAGAAGGGUGUGAUGGGUGAGUCAUGACACAGUAUUUAGGUUACGGUUAUGUUGCUAGGAAUACCUUAAUCUAGGAACCAGUCUAGUUUAGCCUCUAGUCCCUGUUCUCCAGUCUCCACUAAUCCUGCCCAGACAUGCACGGCACAUUUAUGAGAUUGUAAUGAGAACAAAGCACCAAAAAGUAAGUCUGCCACUUCUGGGCACAAGUGGAUUAUGAAAAAAGAAAAUGCAGGUAUAGUAAUUUAGUUUUAUUAUAACUGACUGGUCCCUGGUCCUAUAUGAAAUGAGACUUAAUAAAUAUCUUUAGUUAUUUUUCACCCUCAUAACUGAAAACGUAAUAUCACAUCAACAUGAAGACAUGUCUUCCUCUUUCGUCAUGUCAACAAUAAGCAAUGAACAGAAAUAUAUUAAUAUAUAUAAACUCAUGUAGGAAGUGGCAUUGUACUGUAUUGUUACAUAGAAUUCCCCAUUGAGUAGCUUCAAAUAAUACAUGACGCGUUAAUUCUGUGAAAAAGUCCUUAGCCCUAUCUCAGAACCAGGAAAUAUGUGUUGCCAUAAUACACAGUGGUUUACAGUAGACACAAUAGACACAAUAAUGACUUCAGUUUAAGACUGUAAAAGAAAGGGAAGGAAAACAAGGCAACCAGACUUCAGGAGGAACAAUUUAUUCAGUCAGAUUUACAAGCAGGAAACUCAGGGACCCACAUGUGGUUUGAAUGAACAUUUUACAGCAGGUGAAUGGAAGGCAUUAUAAUAUAGAUAUUGUGCUUUCAUAGUCAAAAUGGAGAGUUUGACUUCAAAAGAUCCUACCAGCAAUUUCUAUGCAAACAUUCCUAAAGAUAUUGGCAUUAGGCCCUACUCACAAAAAAAAAAGAAGAAACCGAAAGCCUACAUUUUACAUUCCUUCACUUUUCUCGAUGUCUUUACAUCUUUAAAACAUUUGGUUCAACAAUAGGCACCGAGUUCAGCCGGCAAACCACAAAUAUGGAGGGGCCUUCUGCUUGUAGUAUGACAAGCUGUUGUGUUGACUGCUCCACCACGGACAAUCUACACAAGUGUAAAACACUAUGUAAAAAAGAUGCUUAUUCAACUUUAUGAUCAUUAUGGAGGAUGUAAUUUGCCUUGAUGUUAAACUGGAUUGAAUUAAAAACUAUUGUUUUUGUUAUUUAGCCUAGCCCACUGACUAAAACUGGGCUGUCAAAAUAAUAGAAACAUGUGUCAGUAUAAAAUUCAACUGUACUACAAAGCACAGCCUCCAAAAUGUAGACACAGUUGAAUAAACAGCUCUCUCAGUUAUUUUAAACAAAUACUGAAUAGCAUAACAUUCAUGAAGCUCAGAUUUAGGGCAGGACUGUUAUAUUAGGAUGCAUUAGUUUUCACUAGUGCACCUAAUGAAUUGGCAAGUGAGUGUGUAUUUUACGUAAGCACUCAGGUUUGGUGUGUCAGACAAAAACACCUCAGAAGGACGGAACAAAAAGCAAAGUUGGACAUUUUAUCCAACAUUACUGCUCAAGAAAGGCAACAGGACAAGAGGCAAGUCAGAACCGAGAUGGGACUUUAGAAACAGACCUUCCACGUGUAAUAUUAUUCGUACCAAAGAACAAAAACAUGGCCUACCAACUCCAACACAAAUGCAUGACAGGACUCAAGUCAAAAUACAUUUUUGGAGAACACAAUUCCUCCUACAUGUAAAACUACCAAAUCAGUUCUGAAACUAUUCAACGAUUAUGUUAGAAUCCAAUAGUGCAAAACAAUAUCAGCAGUAUACAGGCAAUACAAUUAUGUAGUUUCUUUAGAAAAAUAAAAACUCUUCUGCCCUCAUGCUACAAUAACUUGAAUAGAUGGAAGACAUGAGAGAAAACCAAUGCAACUCCGUACAUGACCAAUCCAUAACUUCUGGUCAUGUAUCUGAAUGUGCACAUAAAAAGAAAACGGAGGAAUAAAAUUAGUGUUUAAUUCUCCAGCUGAGCAUUAAAUGAACUUUCUUAAUUAUAAGACAACUUCACAAUUUAUAUAGAUUCUAUCUGAACUGGCAACAAAUGUUCCCAUAUGAAAAAGAUCUAUAAGAAUUAAAGAAAUGUGCAUUUUAUAACUGUGACAUGCAUACAUUCAAUUCUUGUGUACUUUGUCUUGAUAAUUAACAGACCUGAUACAUAAUUAGUGGUCAUUUUUCCAUAUGAUAGUAUUGUGUUAUUAUUGUAUUAUUUAUAUGUUGUCUAAUCAAUGUCAAAUAAUCACAGAAAAAUAAACAAAAUACACAAGUAUUGCAUGACCUCAUCGUGGAUUCUUAUAGAAUUUUUCUCAACAAAAAAUUGUUACUUAAGACAAUUGAGGCACAUCAUAACACGAGCUACAGCACAGAUGAAAGGGCACAAACUUUACAGAGUUAAUGGGACCAAAGAAAGAGCAAAUGAUCCUUAUAUCAGUGAAUGUUAGUACUUUUGGACAUAAAAAUAUCAAGACAGCAUCAUUGAAAGGCCUUAUAAUACAGCAGUUAUGGU